GCCUGGCUGGCUCAGUGGGUAGAGCAUGUGACUCUUGAUCUCAGGGCUGAGAGUUUGAACCCCACAUUGGGUA
rnacentral:tRNA from 1 species